rnacentral:rRNA from 1 species
CGGUAACACCGGCAGCCCGAGUGGUGAUCACUAUUAUUGGGUCUAAAGGGUCCGUAGCCGGCUUAAUCAGUCUUCUGGGAAAUCUAAUCGCUUAACUAUUAGGCCUCCAGGGGAUACUGUUAGACUUGGGACCGGGAGAGGUAAGAGGUACUGCAGGGGUAGGAGUGAAAUCUUGUAAUCCCUGUGAGACCACCAGUGGCGAAGGCGUCUUACCAGAACGGGUCCGACGGUGAGGGACGAAAGCUGGGGGCACGAACCGGAUUAGAUACCCGGGUAGUCCCAGCUGUAAACGAUGCUCGUUAGGUGUCAGGAACGGUGCGACUGUUUCUGGUGCCGAAGGGAAGCCGUGAAACGAGCCACCUGGGAAGUACGGCCGCAAGGCUGAAACUUAAAGGAAUUGGCGGGGGAGCACUACAACGGGUGGAGCCUGCGGUUUAAUUGGACUCAACGCCGGAAAACUCACCGGGGGCGACAGCAAUAUGUAGGUCAGGUUAAAGGUCUUACCUGAAUCGCUGAGAGGAGGUGCAUGGCCGUCGUCAGUUCGUACUGUGAAGCAUCCUGUUAAGUCAGGCAACGAGCAAGACCCGUGCCCACUGUUACCAGCAUAUCCUUUAUGGAUGAUGGGGACUCUGUGGGGACCGCUGCUGCUAAAGCAGAGGAAGGUGCGGGCUACGGUAGGUCAGUAUGCCCCGAAUCCCCCGGGCUACACGCGGGCUACAAUGGUUGGGACAAUGGGUAUCUACUCCGAAAGGAGUUGGCAAUCUCUUAACCCCAAUCGUAGUUCGAAUUGAGGGCUGUAACUCGCCCUCAUGAAGCUGGAAUCCGUAGUAAUCGCGUUUCAACAUAGCGCGU